AUAAUUAGAAAUAAAAACACAGUUUUGGUUGGUAGUCCAAACCUAUCUAUAUGAACGUAGAUAGCAGUAACCUUCCCUCCUGGGGUCGUCCAUUCUCUAUAUUUAGUUU
rnacentral:ncRNA from 1 species